UGGGCACAGUUAGUCCGGACCAAGUAUGGAUUUUUAAGAUCUUGGAUAUUUAUCAAAAGCCUAAAAAUUGCUAACCCAUUUGGUGUAAAAUUUAUGCUUAGGGAGAAAAAAUUUAGUUUCAAUUUUUGUGGUUGGUGGGUAAUAAUACUUCUGUUAAUGUUUGGAAUGAUCCUUCGAUCUCACAAAUUCCUUUAAGCAGGUGGCCCUCUUUUAUUGAUAC
rnacentral:lncRNA from 1 species